rnacentral:tRNA from 1 species
GAGGGUGUAGCUCAAGUGGUAGAGCGCAUGCUUAGCAUGCACAAAGUCCUGGGUUCAGUCCCCAGUACCUCCA